CUAACCUAGGCCCGUGAUCCGGGCCGGGGACCGUGUCGGGUGGGUAGUUUGACUGGGGCGGUCGCCUCCCAAAGAGUAACGGAGGCGCGCGAAGGUUCCCUCAGGCUGAGUGGAAACCAGCCGCAGAGCGUAAAGGCAUAAGGGAGCUUGACUGCGAGACCGACGGGUCGAGCAGGUACGAAAGUAGGCCUUAGUGAUCCGGUGGUUCCGAAUGGAAGGGCCAUCGCUCAACGGAUAAAAGGUACGCCGGGGAUAACAGGCUUAUCUCCCCCAAGAGUUCACAUCGACGGGGAGGUUUGGCACCUCGAUGUCGGCUCAUCGCAUCCUGGGGCUGGAGCCGGUCCCAAGGGUUUGGCUGUUCGCCAAUUAAAGCGGUACGUGAGCUGGGUUUAAAACGUCGUGAGACAGUUUGGUCCCUAUCUGCUGUGGGCGUAGGAGAUUUGAGGAGAGCUGCCCCUAGUACGAGAGGACCGGGGUGGACGAACCUCUGGUGUUCCGGUUAUCGUGCCAACGGUAUCGCCGGGUAGCUAUGUUCGGACGGGAUAACCGCUGAAAGCAUCUAAGCGGGAAGCCCCCUCCAAGAUAAGAUCUCCCUCCUCUUCGGAGGCUAAAGGACCCUCGAAGACUACGAGGUUGAUAGGCCGGAGGUGUAAGCACAGCAAUGUGUUCAGCUGACCGGUACUAAUCGUCCGUGCGGCUUGACCACUUU
rnacentral:rRNA from 1 species